rnacentral:rRNA from 1 species
UUUAUUCCUCUAAAGAGCCGUUCGAGACUAGGACGUUGAUAGGUUGGAUGUGGAAGCAUAGUGAUAUGUGAAGCUGACCAAUACUAAUUGCUCGUGAGGCUUGACUAUACAACACCCAAGCAGUUG